UCCAUAAUGGUGUAAUGGCUAACAUCGCUGUCUUUCACACAGCAUUUCGCGCGGUUUCUUCACGUUUCUCCAUUGACUCAAAGCCUCACCCGAUACAAGCGCUGAGAUUGCAGCUCGGGGUUCGAUUCCCCGUUGUGGAA